rnacentral:ncRNA from 1 species
GCAAUGGCAGAGAACGGAAGAAGUAGCCUUGUCGGGGAACAUAGAAAGUAUCGGGGUGAUGGAACGAUACCAAAGACAAAGCGAAAGUCGUCCGGGAGCCGGUUUUUCGAACAGAGUAGAAAAACACGUACACCGACGUUACCGGAUCGAGCACAGUAAUGUGAAAUUUAGGUGGUACCACGCAAAAGCGUCCUUGUC